rnacentral:rRNA from 1 species
UAAUGUAUGGGGAUCUGCCCGAUAGAGGGGGGUAACUACUGGAAACGGUGGCUAAUACCGCAUAAUGUCUACGGACCAAAGCAGGGGCUCUUCGAACCUUGCACUAUCGGAUGAACCCAUAUGGGAUUAGCUAGUAGGUGGGGUAAAGGCUCACCUAGGCGACGAUCUCUAGCUGGUCUGAGAGGAUGAUCAGCCACACUGGGACUGAGACACGGCCCAG